rnacentral:rRNA from 1 species
AACGAACGCUGGCGGCAGGCUUAACACAUGCAAGUCGAGCGCCCCGCAAGGGGAGCGGCAGACGGGUGAGUAACGCGUGGGAACGUACCUUUUGGUUCGGAACAACUCCGGGAAACUGGAGCUAAUACCGGAUAAGCCCUAACGGGGAAAGAUUUAUCGCCGAAAGCUCGGCCCGCGUCUGAUUAGCUAGUUGGUGAGGUAACGGCUCACCAAGGCGACGAUCAGUAGCUGGUCUGAGAGGAUGAUCAGCCACACUGGGACUGAGACACGGCCCAGACUCCUACGGGAGGCAGCAGUGGGGAAUAUUGGACAAUGGGCGCAAGCCUGAUCCAGCCAUGCCGCGUGAGUGAUGAAGGCCUUAGGGUUGUAAAGCUCUUUUGUCCGGGAAGAUAAUGACUGUACCGGAAGAAUAAGCCCCGGCUAACUUCGUG